rnacentral:lncRNA from 1 species
UAUUUUUUUCUCAUUAAUUAAAACAAUAGGCACAAUCAGAAAAGGUGAAAGAAUCCCGAACAAAGGUGCGUUACGCACACACUGCUCGUAAUAUAGGAUAUGCGACCCUCAAUGCACAAUGUGUAAGUAUUAAGUACAUAUUAAUCAAUACGUAACUUAUAUUAAUUAUUCUGCACUCAUUGGUGAAUAUUGUUAACAACUAUUGUUUUGUUCUAUAAUAGGCUGAGAAGGAAGGCCGUGAACCCUCGCGUUUGGAGCAGUUUAGAUUUCAACAUUUGCGGAAAGAUGGAAGUGACAAAUUAAAUAGUGAGGCAUCAGAACAAGUUUAUGUAAGAAACAAAUGGGUAUUAUUUAUUUAUUUAUAUUUAUUUUGACAUCUAUUUUACUUUUUUUUUUUCAAAAUAGAUUUUUCUAAUUGAAGAGAACUGUAGGAUGAAGCAUGCAAGAUGGUUAAAGACUCUAUGCCAACACUUGAGAGUUCUUUCGCACCUCAAGAUAAUAUUGUAUUAGAAAACGAGAUCUAUACACAAGUGUUCGACCCUGACAAGAAUGGAAAAAUGUUGGGAUAUGGACGUGGGAUGACCAAAUCCAGGUUGUUUGGCUAUGGGUCAGUCACCCGAGGAAGCCAAUCUACAUCGGCUAUCAGUACAUUGAUUGAAAAGAUGAGUGCUAAACAUGUCGAGCAAAUACAAACAAUUCAAGCCGAACAAGCAGUUCAAGAGAAAACUCUACUCGAGGAAGCAGAAUCUCGAUUUCGUACGGAGGCCGCGGAGCGAGAAACUCAUUUGAUAGCUGAAGCAGAAGAAAGAUUUAUGAAAUUAACUGAAAUUCAAGAGGCAAAGUUCAUGGAAAUGAUGGAUGCUCGUGAGAAAAAGUAUAAGGCUCUCAUAAAUGAGUGUAUGGCAAAGGGAAUGUCAAGUAAGUACAAGAUUUUUCAUAGUAAGCAUAUUAAGGUGACUAUUUUAUAACUAGAUUGUCAAUAGGUUUGUUAAUGGUUUAAUAGACAUUGAUUGUUGUAACUGAAUGCUACAUUUUUAUUUGAUGUCUUCAUUGCUUGCUCAACUAAUAAUUAGUGGAUAUACUGAUGAAAAUUCUUUAUUUAACUUCAAUUUAUGGUUCUUUGGUUAAUAUUAAAAUAUUUUUCCCAUGUGUUCAUGUUGUUUGUCAUCUAACUUGUAUAAAUAGAAAAUGUACAUUGCUAUUUUUGCAGUUGAAUUUCAGAGUAGCAGACUUGAUGAUAAAGCCUUCAGUUCAGAUGAUGAUGAAUAAGGCUUACUGCAUAUUAUAUAUUAUAUAUUUAUGUUAUAGUGGUUGAUGAAUGCAGUUGUCCCAUAAUUUUUUGGUGUCAUGGGAAACUGCUUAUAUUAGGAUUUUGUAUAAUUUUUUGAUAUCAUGGGAAUCAAGUUGACGACAACAUGUUGACUGCUUCUAUUAGGAUUUUGUAUAAUUUUUUGAUGUCAUGUGAAAUAGGUUGACAACAUGUUCGCAACUUGUUGACUACUUCUAUUAGGAUUUUGUAUAUAAAUUACUAACUGUAUUAUUCAAUGAUAAUUUUGUAUUUAUAUGAUCCUUUUAUGUUAAUUAAUUGUACAAUUAAUAUUGUCUCAAACUUUUCCAAACCCAAUACAUACAAAUUUGCUCAUAUUAGGCUCUUAAAAAUAGGGGAAAAUGUCGUAAAAAAAACAUUGGACAUGAGACAAAUAUCUAUCCCGACCUUUUUAAGUUUGCCUUAGACGGGUUUAUCCUAACUUUUUUAAGGUUGCCUUAGACAGGUUUAUCCCAACUUUUUUUAAGUUGUCUUGGAAAAGGUCUAUCUCAACUUUUUUAAGGUUGUUGUAAUGGGUCUAUCCCAACAUUUUUAACGUUGUCUUAGAUAGGUCAAUCCCAACCUUUUCUAAAAGUUGCUUUAGACAAGAUCUAUUCCAACCUUUUGGAGGUUACCUUAGACGAAUCUAUCCCAACCUUUUUAAGGUUGCUUUAGACAAGUCUAUCGUAACCUUUUUUUAAGGUUGCCUUAAACAAGUCUAUCCCAACCCUUUUUUAAGGUUGCCUUAAACAAGAUCUAUCCCAACCUUUUUUAAAUGUUUCCUUAGACAAGGUCUAUCCCAACAUUUUUAAAAGGUUGCCCUAGACAAGGUCUACACCAACCUAUUUAAGGUUGUUUUAGACGAUUCUAUCCCAAUCUUUUUUAAAGGUUGCCUUAGACAAGGUUUAUUGCAACUUUUUUUAAAUGUUGCCUUAGAUAUGGUCUAUCCCAACUUUUUUUAAAGGUUAUCUUAGACUGGUAUAUCCCAACCUUUUUAAGGUUGCCUUAGACAGGUCUAUCACAACCUUUUUCAAAGGUUGGCCUUGACUAGGUCUAUCGCAACCUUUUUUAAAGGUUGGCAUUGACUAAGCCUUUUGCAACCCUUCAAUAAAGGUCGGCUUAUGUUGACUUAUGGCAACGCUUUUUCAAAAGCGUCGCCAAGCCUAUGCCAACUGUACUAUAGACAACCUUUUUUGGAAACGUUGGGAGAAGCGUCGCGAAGCCUAUGCCAACCUUUUUUGCAUCGUCUUAGGUUAAAAAAAGUGUCGCGGUAAGGUUGUUUUGUUGUAGUGGAUGUAACCCACUUGUGCAAAUCUCCUGACAAGAAUGAAUUAAGCUUGACUGUUGGUACAAUCCUUGACCAAGUAUCUUUAGUUGCAAGAUAAUCACGAAUGGUGUGUAAAAUAUCUUCAUAUUCAUUACCGCAUAGGUCACAAGAACUAUUCAACCCAAUCCCUCUUUUUGCAUGCUCUGAAUUAGUAAAAAGAUGUUGUUUGAGAAUGAGCAAAAAAAAUAUCUCACCCUCUGAGGAUCUUGAAAUUUCCAAGAAAGUUUCCAAAUGACAUUCUUCACGUUCCAUGAUCCUUCUCGAAUUUUCCAGUAUGCGUUCUUGAUUGAAAAUGAUCCAUUUAAGGAUCUGGCCCAAAUGAUCCUAUCUGGUGGUCCAGCUUUCGGCGAAGGUGGAGGAAUACCCAUAAUUCGCCUAAUCACAUCCUCCGACACCCAUAAAAAAUAAAUCAAGAUUCCAAACCCUAUCCUUUGUUACCAUAUCAAAAAGUAAAUUUUCCUUCUCCAAAAUCGAAUAUGAGGGGAUAUAGUUUACCAGAGGGCCAUAAUUCAGAAUCCAAGGAUCACACCAACAAUUGAUCAAAUAGCCAUCCUUGACAGACUAUAAAAGAUUCUCUCUAACAAGUUGCCAAACCUUAGAGAGACUUCUCCAAAGGAAAAGAGCAGCGACCGCUUGUUAAGGAUUUAGACAAACCAUUAGGAACUCUAUACUUCAUUUUGAGCACCCGAACCUAUAAAGCAUUUGAGUUGGAUACUAAAUUGAAACCAAGCUUCAUCAAGAAAGACAUAUUCCGAUAUUCUAGAUGCCUAAAUCCAAGGCCUUCACGGGAUCGUGGCUAACAAAUAGACUCCCAACUAACAAGCGUCAUCUUCCUUUCCUCUCUCGAUGAUCCCCAAAUGAACUGUCUAACUGAUUGCUCAAUCUCCUCACAAAGUCCUUUAGAGAUCAUCAUUGAUUGUAUGAAGUAGCUUGGUAUCUUUAGUAACACUAACUUGUCCAAGGUGGCUCUUCUAACUAAGGAUAAUUUUCUAGCUUCCCAACUUUGCAAUUUGUUACAAACACGAUCGACAAUAAACCUCAGAGUACUACUAGUCACUUUCUCAUGAAGUAGGGGAAUACCUAGAUACAAAAAAAGAUUUUGCACCCUGUUGAAACCUAAAAUAUCAUUAAGGUGUCUCUUGACCUCUUCAUUAACUCCUUUAGAGAAGAAAAUAUUGGAUUUCCUCGCAUUUACCCAAUGGUCAGAGAAAUUACAAAAAUCUUUUAGAAUUUCACUUAGCAUCCUAGCUUGAUUCUCGUUUGCUUUCCCAAAAAUGAUAAGGUCAUCUGCAAAAAACAAAUGAGAGAUAGCUAGAAUUGAACAACUACAGUGAAUAGAUUGUUGGAAAAAUGAGUUCGGAGGGAAAAACCAGAGUUUUAAAUUUUUUUCCAAAACAAGAUCUUAGUUGUGAUAUCUAAAGUAAUAAACACUUAAUCAAAAUUUUACCAUUUUGAUUCAUCUAGGAUGAGUGCUUUGGUCGAAUAAACUUUUCCGCUAUUCUCAAGCUCACGUCUACCGAGUGUGGGCUCGCUUAGAAUCAGAAAAUUUUUCACAAAAAUUACCAGUGAGAUAAUUUUGAAAUUUCUCUAAACUUUUAGGUCAAGUUAUAAAUCAGAAAAAUAUCUCUUUACAACUUUCUCUUGAAUUCAAGUGUGGGUAAAUAAUGACCCAAUGCUCUCUUUAUAUAAGAAGAGUUUAGAUAGUUCAACUAUGAUUAAACUUAGUCACUUUAAUAUUAAAUUAAUCUAAUAUUUAUGAUAAAUAUUAGAUUAAUUUAGUAUUAAAUCUUAUUAAAAAUAAUAUAAUGCUUAAAUUUAAUUUAAUAUUAAGAUAAUCUCUUUAAUGUUAAAUUAAUAAAAUACUAUUAAAAUAAGUAUUAAAUGAAAUUUAAUAUUAAACAAUUAAAAUAAUAUUAUUUUUUAGAAUAGUUAAUCUGAAAUCAAACCACUAUUCAACCACCGAAGACUAACCGUCGCCGGCCAUCGGGAGGCCGCCGUCCCAGUCGCUGGCACUGCCAUGUUUAGUGAUGCAAGUGCAACACCUUUAAGACAUUCCGAGUCGGUUCGGUUUUGGGUCUUACUCUCAAUUUUGGGUUCCUGGGCCCAAUUUGCAAUCUCAAGUCCAAUUUUCAAGUUCAAUUACUCAUUGAGCUAAUUGUCUAACUUGAAAAUUAACUUCCAAAAAUAUCAUAAUAAUUUUAAUUGAUUUGAUUAAUUUAAUUUUACUUAAUUAAAAUUAAUUUUUUCAAAUAUCACUUAGAUUUUCCAAAUUAAAUUUUCAAGAAAAUUCUUUAAUCAAAUUUUCUAGUUGAACAAUUCUUACGACCAUCUAAUUUAAUUCCACAUAGAAUAAAUUGACUCACUUAAAUUAUUCCAAAAGUCGUAGAAUUUUCUACUUGAUUCAAAUGCAGUCCAAUCAAGCUUUUGUUGAGCUAGCGGAAUGACCAAUCAGACAUAUACAAUUAGGCUUUACUGAUUGCAAUUAUGUCUAGAAGCAUUGUUCCAAUAUUUCACAAUUACUUCAUCAUGGAGUUAAUCCAAAAAAAGUACCAUGAUUGAAAACUCCUUAUUGUAUACUCUUUAUAAAAGCAAUUCAUCAAACUGCUUUGUCCAAUGACCUCGUCAUGUGUGUGUUACCCUCAUAUGAUAUCCUUGAUUCCUUUAAGUUAUAUCCAUUCACUCAAUGCAAUCUUAUUUUUAUCUCAUUGUCAACAUUGUGUCUUUUAAAUGAUUAAUAUGAUCAUUGUCAACAAUGGCUGUGAUAAAUUGCUCAUUCGAGAAUAAGCAACUCUAGCUACGUUCCAUAGUUAUCAAUCCACACAAUGCCAAUGAGAGGAUAUCAUUACCUCUUUAAUUGAGCUAUUAAUUCUACUAUUGCUAGUAAAGCCAUGCCAUAAACAAGUCAUGUACUUAACAUACCGACUAUGGGCUCGAUCAUCUUUAGAUCAUAAGCCUCCACUUAUAUCAAAGCACAUGAGUUGCAUAUGCAUGGUCACUGACUAACUCAGGAUUUAUUUAAAUGACACUAUGAACAUCACAAGUGAAUUAAUUCACAAAAGGAUUAAAAAUUAAUUCAUCUUGGGUCCAAUCUAAGGUAUCAUUCUACCAAUGAAUACAUCUAUGUCUCUACUCGUGGAGUUAACUGCUCCGAUAGCCAAGACUAGCCAUCUCUCUAAUUGGAAUUGUAGAUGACAUAAUAAUCCUCCUCAAUAUUUGAAUCAAAUGCUCACUUUGAUCUUUUUACGGGAUUACAAACUCAUUUAGAUUAUCUACUGAAGUAAGUUGUCUUUCUCGCAAUGUAAAAGUUCUUUACAAUGCUAAUUAUCUUCAGUUUAAACUUUAGACAAUCAAUGAGCUAAUAUUUAUUUGUCACAAUUUCUCUAUUCAUGCAAAAUAUAAAAGACAUAAAUACAAAAUACAUAAUAGUUAAAUGUGAAAUUAACUUUAUGUGACAGCCCUAAUUUGACCUUAGUCAGAAAGUGGUUUCGGGACCACAAAACCGAGUCGUAAAAAUAAUUAACCAUUAAAUUUUGUGUUUAUUGUAUGUGAAAAGGCAUGUGUGAAAGUUUCAUACUUUAAUUUUAUCAUUUGUAUGCGAAAUUAUUAAAUAGGACUUAUGUGAGAAAAUUUAGAAAUGUGUUAGGCAAAUGUUGAAGUGACUUAUUAAUGCAUGUUAUAAAAAUGCUUGGACUUGCAUGUCAAAUAUCCCUUUUUGCUAGUAGUGGCCGGCCAUGAUGAUGAAUUUAUAUUAAAAAAUGUAUUAAUUUUAGUUAAAUGGUUUUAUACUUUAAAUAAAAAUAAAAAAAUUUGGUGAUGAAAACAAAGUUCUCUCUUUGUUCAACUUGGCCGAAUAGAAGAAAGAAAGGAGGGGAAGAAUUUCGGUCACUUGAAUCCUUAGAGAGGUUAGUAUAUUGUGUUAAAUUUGUGAAAUGUUUACUUGUUUUAGGUAAAUUAUCAUGGUUCUUGCUUAGCCCAUGCUAAAAUUUUCAAUAAUGAUGGGUGAAUGGAGCAUUCGGCUAUGGUUAUAAAGGAAGGAAUUUUGAUUGUUUUAUUUGAAUUUUGAUGAUGAAUGUGUUGAGGAAAGAAAUUGGUCUUUCUAAAAAAAUAUGAAUGGUUAAUGCUUAUACUAGUAAUAGCCGAAAUAAAGAUGCUUGAUGUCAUGAAUAAAUGUUGUUUAUAUGUUUGGAAUUGAGAAAAAUUUGAUGUUUAAUCACUUAAGGAUUCGGCAUUGUUUAAGAUAAUUUAUCUAAAAUGUGAUUUUGAAUAUUAUGAGUAUUGGGAUGUAAGUAUAUGUGUGUGCUUGGUCAUAGGAGUUUGCUAUGAAAUUUUGUUUGGUUGAGUGAUGAAUGGCCGAAUGAACUAUAGGCUAGGGUGGAUAAAUUUUUGUACAUAAGUAGUGAGUGUGACUAUUGGUUAAUGACAUUCGGCAUUAUAUUUUUUAUAUGUGUGCAUUCAGUCUUUGGGGGGGAUAACAAGAUGAAGUCAAAAUGUUAAAGAAGGAUUCUAAGGCUUGCUAAGUUGUUAUGAUCAUUUUCGAAUGUAUAUUGGUCAAAGGGAAAUUUUCAAAUCGUCUAUGUAUGAGUAUGUGAACAAAAUAUUAAAUGAAUAUUCGGCAUAAUGGGGUUAUGAGUAAAUGGCAUACUAUAUAUAUAUAGUUAAAUUCGUGUAUAUGGAAGCAUGGUAAGUUAUGUGAAUUUUUGCUUGUUCAUGUGAAAUAGAUAUCGGUAUAAUAAGCAUAAAAAUUUAGUCUUGGCAUAUUAUAUAAAACAUAUUAUACUUUGAAGUUAUGUGACUGCCGAAUGUGAAUAAUAAGUAAAUAAUAUUAGUUAAGAUAUUAAACAAAUUUAUUUACAUUUAUUAAGCUAAAGAGCAAGGAGGAUCGAAGUUGGAUAGGGGAAAAGAGAAAGCAAUAGAGUAACCAAUCUACAACCGUUCGAAUAUACCGAGGUAAGUCUUUGAGUAACAGAACUUAGCUUAUGAUUUUAUAGGUAUCAUAUAAAAGCAUAGUAGAUAAAUUGUGAUCUUAUGGUUCUAUAUAAAUUACAUAGUGAAACAAAUGAUUUUUAUUUUAUAUGACUUGGAGCCGAAUGGUUAAAGAAUUCAUGUGGAAUAGCGAAAUGAAAUCGUAUUACGUGUAUGUAGCUAUUGAGCCGUAAGAGUAAGGGUUGAUAAGCAUGUUGAACUUGUUUGCUAGUAAUGCUAAUGGGUUAUGAUAUAUAUGUGAAGGCAUUCGUGCGGGUUAUUAUAACCGGGUUAAGUCCCGAAGGCAUUCGUGCUGGUUGAUAUAUCCGAGCUAAAUUCUGAAAGUAUUUAUGUUUGGAAAGGUGCGAUUCUGUCGUAAUAAUUCCGAUUAAUGUGCUCAUAAUCCCUAAUAUGAGCUCAUAAUCCCUAAUAUGACCAGGUAUGGAUCGUAUAUACAUUGGAAAAUUUUGGUACAGUAUAAGUUGUGAUUAUGCAAUCGAAUAAUGCUCUCCCGGCCAUUCCUUAAGGUUAUAUGAAGUCUAUAGCUCACUCGAGUUACAUGAAAUUGGUUCAAAUGAAAUUUAGUUAAGUUUGACUUCGAAUGUGUAAACAUAUUGAUAGAAGUGUAAAUUAAAAUGAAUAUGUGAUCUUGUGCAUAGACAUUUAUUUAUCCUUAUGAAUGCUAUUUCUUUUGUGUUUUUGUUUCAAAUGAUUUCCUUACUUAUAAGCUUACUAAGCAUCGAAACGCUUACUCUGUUGCUUAAAUUCUCUGUAUUAUAGAUUUUGUUCGUCAGCUAUCGGACUCAGAAGUGUCAAAGUUGAAGUCAUCCACACUAUCUAAGCCCCUUUUUGGUACUCUUUUAGUUGAACUUUGAUAAUGGCAUGUAUAGGACUGACCUUUGUUGUUACUUAAGUAUCUUUUGGUAAUGUAUAUAUUCGUAUAGCCAUGCGAAAAUGGCUUAUAUAUUUUGAGUAUAGCAUUAUAAUCAUUUUGUAUAUAUGGUCUUAUGAUAUGGUUAUUGAGUGGUAUGGAAAUGCUUGGUAAUGAUUAGCCAUUGGAAUGGCUAAUCAUGAUCAUAUUUGGUGCUAUGUAUGUCAAAUUGCUAGCUAAUCCAUGGAAACCAUGAAAUAGGUAAAAUUUAUCACAAAAUAGAUUCAGACAGCAGUAGUGACGUGAAUUUGGAAAAUCACUAAAAAUAGUAGAAAUGGAAUUAAAUAAUGAAUAAGUUAUGGAAUCAAGCUUGAUGAGUCUAUUUUCAUAUGGAAGAAGAAAAACAGGUAUAUGAGCUAUAUUUUUUGAGAUGUUUAAAUUUUUGUGAAACAGGGCCAGAGCGAUUUCUGGAUCCCCUGUUAUGACUUUGGAAAUUCACCAUAAAUUUUACAAAGAUAAUUAAAAGUCAUGAUUUAUAUGUACAGAUUCAUUAUUGAGUCUAGCUUUAUUAGAGACAAACGGCAUAGUCAUUGAAGCUCUAUAUAGGGAGAUAUCAGAUUCGUAAUACACAGAGGUCAGAGUAGUCGAACCCUGAAAUAGGGGAGACUUUAACUAAUAAACUGUACUAAUUGACCCGACCAAAAAUUCUAGAAAAAAUUAGUAGAUAGAUGUAUGAGUCUAGUUUCAGGAAAAAUUUACGGAAUUGGAUUUCGAGUUUUGGAACUCGAGAUAUGAUUUUUAAAGCGACUGUGAUGCAGUUAGCCAGCUUGUCUGGAAAAUUUUAAAAUGAAUUGUAUGAGCUGUUUAAGUAAUGAAUUAAGUCCGUUAACACCUCGUGUUCGAUUCCGGAAACGGUCUCGGGUACGGGGCGUUACACUUUAUUUAUUUAUUCAUCGUUCAAAUAAAUAGAAAACAGUUACAUGUUUACUAUAAUAUGGGCACAUUUCCCAACAUAGACUGCCAUUAACCACCUUAAAUUUCCAAGUGAAUGUUGUGUCCAAACCAUUCCAUACAUAGAAUAAAUAAAUAUGGGGAUAACGGAUACCCUUGAUGGAUACCCAUGGUCGGUCUGAACUUCGGGGAUGGUACACCAUUCCAAAGUAAUUGCAUAGUGGAAUUAGAGAUAGCAGACAUAAUAACAUUUAUCAAGAGACUAGGAUUACUUGUAAUUUUAAGAGAACCGUCAAUAAAUUCUCAGUGAACACGAUCAUAGGCCUUCUCCAAAUCAAUAUUCACUGCCAUCCAUUUUCUAUUGUUUUGCUUGCUCAUCAUAGAGUGAAUUACCUCUUUUGCCACAAUGACAAUAUCAAUAAUGUUAUGCCCUGCUAUGAACUUUGCUUGCUCCUCAUAUGUAUUGUGACGAGGAUUCGAUCCUUUGUUGUAUUUGGUCUAACUGUUCAUGUUUCUUGGACUUUUAAACCAACACUCUAUAAUUUAAUCCAACUCAGUACAUGUUUUUAUAUUUCUCAAAAUAGACUAUUUAUUAAAUUAAAUUAAAUAAAUUAAAUUUCCAAUUAAAUAAUUUUCUCAACCCAAUUCUAAUUCUAUUAAAAUUAUAUAACUUUACCGUAAAAGAAUAUAUGAAAAAAUAUAUUUAAUUUUUCUACAUUCAAUGGAUUCACAAUGACCAACUAAUUUAAUUUCAUUUUCAAAAUUUAAUUAUUUAAUUAUUUAUAUAAUAAUUCAAAAAACCAUAAAUUAAUUAUUAGGUCAUUCCAUUCUUAGUGAGAAAACCACAUCCAUUUUUGAAUGUUUACCAUUUCUCUAACUUUAUCAUUUUUAUCUACUUUUGUUCAUUUGAUUGAACACGUGUUCAUUUCUGGUUUCAACGAGAUAGCGAAGGAGUCGAUUGGACAUAUGUAAUUAGGGCUCAAAUGAUUUAUAAUUAAGUUCUAGCUUUUCGCCUAUUAAUUUAAACUCAAUUAGUCACGAGCUCAGUCAAACUCAUUCCACUAUAGUAUCAUGAUUGAGCUCUAUUUAACGACAUACCAUUACAAAAGCAACUCAAUCAGUGCUCGUUGAAUGAUCUUGUCAUAAGUGUGUUACCCUUCUUAAUAUCUUUGGGAUAAAUUUUACAUCUUCCUUCAUGAAAAGUCAAUUACUAUAAAAUAGUAAUCAAGUCAUUCAUCACAUAGACGAAUGACCCGUGGCCACGUUUACUUUUCAUCAACCAUGUAAUGCCAAUGAGAUGAUAUCAUUUACCCAUGUCUCGGGCUAUGGAUUUUACUAUUGUGAAUGACGUUACAUAUUGUAGAAGUCGUACACCUAAUGCGCCAACUUUUAGUUCAUUAUCUAUUCAAACUCGGGUUUUCACUUAUAUCAAAAGUGUACGAGUCACACAUAGAUAGUCCAUUAUCCACUCAAGAUUAAGGUAUGCCACACUAUGAAUGUCACAAGUGAAUAAAUCCAUAAACAGAUUCAAGAUCUAUUCUACUUUGGUCCAGUCCAAUGUACAGUUACAUCUAUGUCUCUAUCUUCUGGGAGUCAUCUGCUCAAAUGCCCAAGACAAGACAUCUCCCCAAUUGGACUUGAUAUACAACAUAUUAGUCUUUCAAUUGAUUUGUUCAUUUCUGAUUAGACGAAGGACAUGUUUAGGUUCAUCUACUAAUAUAAGUUAUUUUUAUGUAUUAUGAUCUGACCACGUAAUACUACUUAGCAUUGUUUAAAUAUUAGACAACAGGUGAGCCUAUAUUUGCUUCAAUAUUGCUUUGCAUGCAAAAACCAUAUAAGAACAUUAUACAAAGUAUAUUAAUGUAAUCCAUGAAUUAUUUUAUUAACCAAUCUAUUCGAAACAAUUAUAAGUUUACAAACGAAUAUACUACACUUAGUGCACCAAAUCCAACACUCUCAUCAAUAGCAUGAUAUAGGCAUUCAUCCUAGCUUUCCAAUAGGGAUAAUUACCACUUUCUAACAUAGGAGGACAGGUAAUUGAAGAUCCUUCCAUUUUUAGCAACCAACAACACUAGCAAUCACCACUAAAUACAUUAAGUGUUAAGCUCUGAUAUCAAUUGUUAUUACUUAAAGUUGCUGAUUGUUGAAUGAAUGGAACUGCUUGACUGCAGUGGCUGCUACGGCUUAGCACUACAAUAAACUGAGCAAACAAAAACACAAAGAACAUAAAGGUUUGUUUGCAUAGCUCGAUUUCCCUAUAUCUGUAGAGCCUAGCUCAGUGAUUAAUUCACGAUCUUUAAUCAUCAAUACAACAAGCGAAUCAUACUCUAUCACUCCCUAAGUAUAAAUAUCUCACCUUGGUACCUAAAGACUAUAACACUCAUAUCUGAAUUCUCCCCUGAGAAUUUAGAUAGUAAACUUUAAUAGUUUACAAUUUCAAGUUGUACUCUCUCAAAUGUUCCUCAAUGAAUAGAACAAAGUGCUCUCAAUAUGUUCUUGUAUAAAACCUAGACAAGGGUCCAAAGCAUAUCGACUUUAACUUGCUAACAUCGAAAAACUAAAUAAAUACAAAACAACUCAUUGAAAAUAGAAAUCACAUAAUAACUAAUAGAAUCAUAGUCUAAUGAAGUUAUGGUCUUACAAAAACAUCUUAAUCCCAACAAAUUCUCCACACAAAAAAGGUUGUUUUGAUUCAAUCGAAUUGAAUCCAAUCCAAUCUUCAAUAGUCAUAGAUUGAUUUUCAUAGAUGGACUAUAAUAUCUCCAAAAUAUCAACACAAUAACUAGCCCAAAGAUUUUGCUUCAUUAAAUUAUCAACUCAAAUAUGACAAGCAACUUCACUGUCUCAACCGUGGAUUGAAGUGGGAACUGUUGAGUGCCACUGAACUCAUUGUGACACACCUUGCCUCAAUAAUAUUAAUAAAACUAAUUCUAAACUAGUUAAAUAUUUUUAAAAAUAUUCUAUAAUUACCUUAAUUUUUCAAUUUAUUAACAAUUUUUGAAUAAAUUAAUUAAAAAUGUUAAACAAAAAUUAAUAUUAUAAAUUGAAUAUAUACUAUUGAUCCAUACAUAGCAUGAGAAUACAAAUUAGUUAAUAUUAUAUAUGAUUAGAUUAUAUAUAUAUAUUUAUAUAUAAAGAGAGAGAAGGGAUCUACUUACUUGUAAAAGUUAUCAGUUUUACACCAUUUUUUGACCGGCUAAGAUUAAAAGUUAAAAGACGCUUUCCUUUUUUAUCUUUCUUAUUUUUAUUUAAGAUAAAACACUAAAAUUUUCCUUUUUUUUCCUUCUUGGAACAUACGAACUGUCCUUUAUUGUUAUUGCAAUUUACUUUUUUUUUUUUGGUUCCAUUAAAAUAAAUGAAUGACUUGUACAAAAGAAUCAAAUACCGUUGCAAAAGAUUAUAUAAGCCUUCAAGGAUAGAAACUGAUUUCAUGGGCAAAUACACAUUGUUAAUCAUCUUAGCAAUACAAUCAACAGUUUGGUUGUCCUCCGUAUAUAAGAGUUUGAAUUGUAUCUCCCUACAAUCAGUAAGCAUCUUAAAAUGCCUUUCUCUAUUGCUUUCAUCUGUCAACAACACAUGCUCUUCUUUGACAAACGAUAAGCAAAAGCUUCAUUAUCUUUGCAACUCAAUUUUUUAUUGCCUUUUCAUUUAAUAUUUAUGUUGAAAAAACAUAUAUGAAUCAUUCAUUGACAAAGCAAAACAAGGCACACACUUUUCAAGUGUGCUGCCUGCGAGGUAAUUGCUUAUCACUCAUGAGCAACUUAUUGGUUGCGACUUGCCAGAAAUUGAAUGUUUCAACAAAAUCAUUUUCAGGUGAUGAGAAACCAGAAAACGAAAGCCAAAAUUCCAAGUAUUAAUUGGAUUGUUACCUUUCCGCUCAUAUUAAGGCCACUCUGAGGUCAUUUCUAAAUGAGUGGAAUUUGAAGCUAACGCCAAAAUGGCAUUACUUGCAUUGGUGUAUAUCGGCCUAGCUAAUGGUCUAAGAAAGAGCUUAUGAAAAAAAAUUACUUUGCGGUUUGUAACUUGUUUAAUUAAGCUUAACAAGAUUUUGCUUUUUAAUAGUUUUAUCUCUCAAACCAAGUUAUUAGAAAUUGGAUUAUAACCCAGAUGAAACCAAAGAAUGAAUUUAUUUGCAAAAAAAUUGAACUUGUAAAUUCCUUCUCAAACCACUUCUUAAUGAUGUCCGAUCUUUUUGUAUAAAUCUUUCAUCUAUUUUAAUGGAAACAAUAAAGGGAAAAAUCAAAUUGUAUUGAUGAUAAGGGAAGUUCGUAUUUGUCAGAAAGGAAACAAAAGUUUUAAUAUUUUACCUUGAAUGAAAUAUAGGAAAGAUACGGUAUUUUCUUCUUUAACUAAAAAAAUAAAAAUAAAAAAGAAGGAAAGAUAGAAAAAUUUUAAUCUCAACCAUAAAUUAAUUUUAAGUUUUACAUUAUCCUUCCCAUAUACAUAUAUAUUAGAAUUAAGUCUGCUGUUGGGCCUAACUCUGUAGGGGUUGUUUCCACUGUUGCGUGGCCGUGAAUGUUUCUCACAUUGCAAAAUUGAGUAGGAUGUGGUUGGCCUCCGGGCAUUUUCCAGGAAUCAUCGUAUUGGUGCAGCUGUUACGUGUUCCAUUGGCUGACAGCCUCUUAGUAUGUCCAGCUUCCUCCUUCCUUUGCCAUCAGCACUUUUGUUUGGUUAGCCUUGAUGCUUUUUGAUGACCAGAUUCCCCAUUUUUCACGUCUUGUGGUGUGCUCGUUUGUUCGCUGCCAACCCUUCAUGUUUCCUUUUAUAUAGGGUGGGCUUUCUCCUUUGUUGGUUGCCUUUUCUAGGAAUAAAUCAUUUUAACUUUUAACUUGUUUAUUUUUACAUAUGCUCAAAAAGUAAUAAUAAUAAUUUGAUGGAUAAAAUAAAAUCCGGAUAUUCUACGAGCCAAUACAAGUCUUGAUCAAUCCGAAAGGUAUGUUUAGCCGAUGCAUGAGAUGCCUCACUCAUUACUCCCUGCCAACCCUUCUUCCAUCCAGCAGUGACAUCAGCUAAUGCUUCUGCCAACCACUGCACUGGUUCAUAUUUAUUGCUGCUGCUCCCAAUUUAUACCAAUUAUGAAUUCCAAGUUAUUCAUGUUUCAACAUCUUAACAGCCAUAAUGAAAAUGCAAAUGGAUUCAGCUGCAAUUAAGACUAGAGAAUUUUGUCAGAAGUACUCACCAUGGUGAUUGAAUUCAAGAUGAAGUAAGGAAUUGCUUUUAACUCCAGUGAGGUGUAGUUAAAAACCUAAUUGGUGCCAAUAAGUAGUCUUUGAAAUUUUUUUUAGGAGUAAAAAUUAAAUUAUAAUUUUUAUAAUAAUAAAAAUAUAAUUUUAUCAUUUUAAUAAUUUAUAUCUUUAUAAUUUUUAAAAGAUAAAAUUAAAAUUAAGAUAAUUUUAUUCAUUUAUUUUUAUUAAGAUAAUUUUUGAAUAAUUACUUUUUCACUCUGUUAUGUUUUAUAAAAGUAUUAAAAUUAUUUAUUGAUAGAAAAUAUUUAAUAAUAUAAUUUCUUAAAAAAAUAAUAAUAUAAUUAUUUAAUAAAGAUACAUAUUAUAUAUUAUUUUUUUAAUUAUCUUUAAUAUAUAAAUAAUUUAUAAAAGUUUUUUAAUCUAAUGUACUUAAUAAUUAUUUUUUAUUCCCACCUCACUAUUAUAACUGUAUUUGAAUCUAAACACAUACUUCAUGAUUGUUUCUAUUCUUAUUGUUAUAAUAUCCAAUCUCAUAGCUAUAAUAAUUAAUCUCACCAUCACCAUUUAUUUUUUAUCUCAUCAAAAUACCGUCGAUCCAAACUAAAGUUAAUAUUCAUGCAAAAUCUUGGUAACUAAAACAAAAAGUGUCAGUAUUUCAUGUUAGUACCAAUUCCACUUUUACAAACUUAUGAUAUGUCACGACUCAUCAUAUUGCAAUCCCAAAUUGGACACCAGUAAAAAGGAAGAAAGUAGUGGAAAAAGAAAUAUACCUGUUGUAUUUAAUGAUUAUUUUCUCCACUCAAUCGUCAAAAGAAUGGACCAAAAUUUAAAGUUAAAAAAGGAAUAUAUUCAGAAACUUGGAGAUUAAACUUGGCAAAGAGAUUCUUUUGAGAGAACAACAUGCAUGGGUUCCCACUCAUACGUCCGCUGCACAUGAUGAACAUAUGAUGGACUUGAAAGAUGCCAAGGAUCAAGAAAAUAUAAAAUUAUCAUAUAUAUGUGGAAUUUGUUCUGUGUUUGAUUGCCGAAAGGCACCAUCUCACUUUUUUCAUACUUUCUGGUUAUUGUGCAUACCAGAAGGAAUCCAAUCCACUAUGCGCUUAUAUAUAUAUAUAUUUUUCUCCAAUGAAGUUAAUCAUCAAGCAAUAACAGAUUAUAAGAGAGUGUGAGAAUGGGGUUGACCGGUGACAGCUCAAUGGGACACUACGCUGAUUGGGGAAGCAACAAAUACAAAGGAAGCCAGAAUGGGUAUGCAGUGGCUUACACCGAAAGUGAAUGUUAUAACCAAAUCCACAAGCCCACCCAUGGCAUGAUCAAACCCCAGAAAGCUUAUGGGAUGGCUGAAACCUGGGAUGAGGAGCAUGCUCAAUCUUACGCCACCUACAAGUCCCAAACUGGACCUCCAAUGUUCAAAACUCAAGUUCAUGGUCCUUCUUGGAAUGGCUUCGGCUUCCACUCCAAUACUGCAACUGCCCACAUGCAAUCCUAUGGCUUUAGUAGCCCCGGAAGAAACGAAGGUCGUGUUUAUGGCUAUGAGGGCCCCACCCCAGCCGCUAGACACCGGAAAAGUAAUGGCGGAAUGGGCCAUGGUUUCGAUAAUCAUGGAAACUACGAAAAAACUAAGGCUUACGGUUAUGAAGAGAGCAAUGGGUAUGGGGAGUACACGAUGAAUGGGAUGGCGCGUACCCAGCCGCACCUUCGCGGCAAACACACCGGACAUGGAAACGGGUUCGUCAAGAACCAAGCUUACGGCCCUACCAAAAACAUGGGCUUUGGAUAUACUGAAGCCGAGUAUAACAGCCAUUCCAAAGAAGAGCAGUACCAAUACUACGGCGG